rnacentral:misc_RNA from 1 species
AGAGAGAGAGAGAGAGAGAUCAUCUUUAAGUGGCGAUAUUCAUCAUUUUCGAGGGUAGUUCCACUCGCAACCAACAACGCUCAACCGUUUUGAUCAAUGCCCUAGCUCCUCACCUCUCCCUCUCUUUCGACACAACCUUAAUCUUACCAAAACUAGCUCCAGCUUCAUUUUGCUCAUCUGCGCGCCAACUCCAUACAAUUACAGACCCACGCAACAACCCUUCUUCUUCUUCAGUUCUACCACAUAUCCUGCUCUCCCCCUCUCACAUUUUUCGUGUCUUCAACUAAAGUGCCAACUCCCUUCCUUAUCAAACCUCACUCUCCUUCCCUUUGAAGAGCAUUCACCCCUCACCCAGUGCCAUACGAUACGCAUUGUCACCCAGCUUCUACUCGCUUUUCUCCAUACCCAUCUCCUUCACCACGUUCCCCUGUCUCCAUUCUCCUCCAAGAUCACUUACUCACCUUGCACAAGCGCUGGCCCUAUGAGCAAUCUUCCUCUUCGACAAUCAAGCACCCAUUUCCUUUCCUCUCUGCCUCCAUUCAAGAUGAGAAAGGAAAUUACUAAGUUCACAGCCAUUUAGGGUUACAUGAUCACAUGAUCCUUUUCUGGCUCAAUUUGUAUCAAUUCUAGUAAUUUUGGGUUUCAUAAGUCCAUGUUAAAUAUUUUAAGGGCCUAUUUGACUGCAAUUUUAUUUAUAAGGGCUCAAUUGACUAUUUGGCAUAAGUUUUAGGGCCUAUUUGGGCCUUUGGCCAAAAACUAAAAAUUAUUUCCCUCAGUUUUUGUUUUCAUGUUGACUUAGUCAGACACCUUUGUUCCCUUUGUACUCUCUUUUGUGUUUCUUCUUUUAUAUGAAAAUCAUAAAAGUUGCUUAAAAAGGGGAAAAAACCAAUUGAGAUUUGAUGUAGGGGAGAUUGUUUACUAUUAACAUUAGUUCAUGUUUUUGCAUUGCGAGUGGACUGGAAUGU